rnacentral:rRNA from 1 species
AUGCUCAAAAUUGAUUUAGCUGAAGCUUUUGACAGAAUUGAGUGGAAUUUCAUAGCUUGAGCUCUUGCAUGUAAAGGUCUUCAUGCCCAUUUUAUAAAUCUUGUGCAUGCUUGCAUAUCUUCACUCACUUUCUCGGUUAUCAUUAAUGGCCAGUUUUUUGCUCGUUUUAAAAGUAGCGGAGACAUUAGACAAGGCCCCCUGUCCCCGUCUCUUUUUGUCUUUGCAGUGAAUGAACUCUCUUUGGCGCUACAGGAUGCACUUCAGGACAAUCACUUAGGUAUCUCCCUUGGACCAAACUGUCCUCCUAUACAUUCUUUGAUGUUUGCAGAUGAUCUGCCUGUAUGUGGAAAAGCUACCAUGCAGUAA